rnacentral:lncRNA from 1 species
GUGUACUAUGUGCGUAUAAAUUUAUAUGGUACAAUCAAAGCACUUUAUUUAUAUUACUUUAUUUACCAAUUUUACUCUUUUUUUUAUAUUUUAUUUUUUUAUUUUUUUAUCAUUUUUACCUUUUUCCUUUUUUUAAUUUAUUUUUAAAAAUGUUAAUACGUUCAUAUAAUUUUUUUUAUAUAUUUUUGUUUCUGUUUUUGUUUUAUUUUUUCAAUAUAUUAUCGUUGCUGCCGAUCCUGGGAAACAAUUCCUUAGGUUUAGUUUCAGGUAAUCAUGGUCAUAUACAUUGCAGAAAAAAAACGAACAACAAAACAACUGAUCAUAAAUAUGAUGUAGACAAACAAUACAAUAGUGGAAAUGAAAAUAAAGUUGUUUUUGUGAAAGAAAUAAAUAAAAAAAAAAUAAAUAAAAUUAAAAAUAAUUUUUUAUUACAUAAUUUGAUGUAUGUAUUAAUGCAAAAUAAAAAGAAUGGCACUAUUAACAAAAUUGACAAUUAUAAUUAUGAUGUAAAAAAAAUGAAUAAAUAUAUGUUCUCUUCUUUGAAGACUAUAGAACAAAAAAAUGUGCAAAAUAUAAAAAUCAAAAGUAGUAAUAAUAAUAAAAUAUAUAAAAUUCAAAACACACCUUAUAAAAUCCGACAGGUGUCAUCUUUUUUAGAAAUGCACCAAGCAAAUAAAAAUAAUUAUAUCAAUGAUGGCAUAGAUGGUAAUAUUAAUGAUAAUAUUAUUUCAAGUAAAAUACGUAAGCGUACUACACCCUAUGGUGCAACAAGUAUGAUUCUAAAUAGUGUGGAGGACCCUGGAAUAAAAUUCGCUGAAACUAGGGAAACUGCAUCUGUACAACAAACUACAGAUGGAUGGAAUGUAUAUCCUCCUUUAAUGCUCACAUGUAAGGAACUUGGGUGCCCUAACGAUUAUGAAGUAUGUUCCUAUACUCAUAUAAAACCAAAUGUAAUUACUAAAUUAAAAGAAAAAUAUAAUGAAAGUAUAUACCCUAAAAUGUUUGAAGCAAAAGAAUUGCCAUUCCAGAUUAAAUGUGUUUGUAAAAAAUAUCUUGCAGAUGGUACUUGCAACACUUCAGCCGAAGCUGUGGUAGCAUAAGCUAUUAUAUACUUUUUUUAUUUGUAUUUUUCUAUGAUUAAGUGAAAUAAAUAAUAUACUCUAUAUUUUUUUUUAUUUGUA